AUUGAACGCUGGCGGCAGGCCUAACACAUGCAAGUCGAACGGUAACAGGGAUCAGCUUGCUGAUUCGCUGACGAGUGGCGGACGGGUGAGUAAUGUCUGGGAAACUGCCUGAUGGAGGGGGAUAACUACUGGAAACGGUAGCUAAUACCGCAUAACGUCGCAAGACCAAAGAGGGGGACCUUCGGGCCUCUUGCCAUCGGAUGUGCCCAGAUGGGAUUAGCUAGUAGGUGGGGUAACGGCUCACCUAGGCGACGAUCCCUAGCUGGUCUGAGAGGAUGACCAGCCACACUGGAACUGAGACACGGUCCAGACUCCUACGGGAGGCAGCAGUGGGGAAUAUUGCACAAAGGGCGCAAGCCUGAUGCAGCCAUGCCGCGUGUAUGAAGAAGGCCUUCGGGUUGUAAAGUACUUUCAGCGGGGAGGAAGGGAGUAAAGUUAAUACCUUUGCUCAUUGACGUUACCAGCAGAAGUAGCACCGGCUAACUCCGUG
rnacentral:rRNA from 1 species